rnacentral:lncRNA from 10 species
AGCUUGUUCGCCGCAGUCCUGUACCAUGGAUGACAGUCUUCUGCCUCUGGGGUGCUUGCUAGAAGAUCCUGAAGCUCCUUGGCCAGACAGCUGGAAGGAAGGCUGGCCUUUGCUCUGGAGGACCACUCGGCUGGCGAGGAACAUUCGAUGAGGAUUUGGGAAAUGAAGUGAUUUUUAAUAUUUUGUAUACGACUCAAGCGACAUACUAAAACACACACAGAUCUGUCUUGAAAAAUGCUGGUAAGCAAAACAAACAUUCAAACUCCAAUUUGCACCACCAGGAUAAUCCCUGUUAAAACUUAUGGCUUGCGAUGGGAGGCAAAACUGCCACUUCCAUAUUACCUUACCAAACUAGGAUCAGGUGGGGAAAAAAAGCAUGUUGCACUGUCAGAAAAAUUAUACCAAACUUAGAUAAAGUCACCUUCAGUUACUGGAUGUCAUUUCAGGGCAGUGCAGGAUGUCUAUUGAUUUACCUAUUUUUCAACUCUGUAGACACUGAUGUUAACAUGUAGAUAUUUUAUUCAAUAAAUAUGUAAAUGAUUUAUGUCCAGUGCAAUAGAAAACCUUAAAUGUUACAAUUUAUUGCCCUGUAAGAUAUUAACCCGUUUUAUAUUUAACCUGGCAGUGUUAUUCUAACAUUUAUUAAUUUCCUAUGUGUUUAUGAAAUUCAAUGUUUUGUUUAUAUCUUCAUAUUGUGUAUAUUGUAUAUACACAUAUACCCUUCAACUGUUUUCUUAAUCCUAGCAGUUGUUGAUUGUGUUGAAAAAUCUUUCACAUAUUCUUUUUACAUUUACAUGAAUUGUAAUUUUACCUUUGAAAAUUUAGAACAUUCUCAGACAAAUAAAUGUUAUGUCUAAAAAUAAUAAAACAUUGGAUAUUUCUCGUACGUCUGAAUUUCCUCUCCAAACCAACAUAUAGCCCUGUCUUCCAAUUCUCCUGACUGAAGGUAUUGUGUGGUCAUUUUUUAAAUUAUCGUGGCAAAAUACACAUAACAUAAAAUUUAACAUUUUAACCAUUUUAAAGUAUACAACCCAGUACAUUAUCAAUGUUGUACAACCAUCACCACUAUCUAGCUCCAGAACUUUGUUGUCACCUCAAAAGGAAAUGUUAUGUUUUUUACGGUAAUAAUUAUGUGAAAAAGGUGCCAUUUUUGUACCAUGAACAGACUAAUAUUAAACUUAACACCCUUGGUAAUUUUUUUUUUUUUUGAGACGGAGUUCUGCUCUGUCACCCAGGCUGUAGUGCAGUGGUGCGACCUCAGCUGACUGCAACUUCUGCCCCCCAGGCUCAAGCGACUCUCCUGCCUCAGCCUCCCCAGUAGCUGGGAUUACAGGCGCACACCACCAUGCCUGGCUAAGUUUUUGUAUUUUUACUAGAGACAGCAUUUCGCUAUGUUGGCCAGGCUGGUCUCGAACUCCUGACCUCAAGUGAUCCACCCACCUCAGCCUCCCAAAGUGCUGGGAUUACAAGCGUGAGCCACCGCGCCUGGCCCACCCUUGAUUAUUUUAUUUUAUUUUAUUUUUUUUGAGACAAGGUCUCACUCACAUCACCCAUGCUGGAGUGCAGUGGUGUGACUAUGACUGACUGCAGCCUCAACUUCCUAGGCUCAAGUGAUUCUCCUACCUCAGCCUCCUGAGUAGCUAGGACAAGUGCGUGCCACCAUGCUGGGCUAAUUUUUUUUAUUUUUAGUAGAGACAAGGCAUCAAUAUGUUGCCCAGGCUGGCCUUGAACUCUUGAGCUCAAGCAAUCCUUCCGCUUCGGCCUCCCAAAGGGCUGGGAUUACAGGUGUGAGCCACUGUGCCUGGCCAAUUUUAAUUUUUAUCUUGAAAACGUUUUAUAAAAAGCUAGUCUUUCUGAUAGCUCAUUCAUUUACAACUUUUCUAAAUGAUAUUAUCUCUAAUCAUUUUUUAACACUUAUAGUUUAUUCAUUUAUAUAAUUCUGUCCUUUCCGGCAUGCUCAUCUAUAACUCAAGGCACAAAAUGUAAGCAUAUUAAUUUUUUAAUUUGUCUUAUUAAUGUUUGUAUCUCCCCAACGCCUGUCUCUAAGCAUUUUUUAACAAGGUAUAUAUUUUAUUCCAGACUGUGUUUAGAAAUUCAUAUUGAAAUUGCAUAGGAAUUGUGUACAUUUACAGAUGUUUUAAAAAUGGAAUCUAAUUUUCCAUACAUGAUGUCACAUUCUCUGUUUCACCAAAUAUAAAAUAAUUAAUGUCCUUUUGUGUCAAUAAACCUAUCCAUACAU